UUCACUGAUUAACUGAAUUAG
ensembl:piRNA 21ur-4125 ncRNA